rnacentral:tRNA from 1 species
GCGCUUGUAGCUCAGUAGGAUAGAGCGCAGCCCUGCGAAGGCUGAGGCCGUGGGUUCGAAUCCCCCCAAGCGCGCCA